GACCCCAUGGCCCAAAGGAUAAGCCGCCGGUCUACGAAACCAGAGAUUCUCGGUUCGAUCCCCAGUGGAGUCG
rnacentral:tRNA from 1 species